rnacentral:rRNA from 1 species
AUUGAACGCUGGCGGCAUGCCUUACACAUGCAAGUCGAACGGUAACGGGCUUUCGGGUGCCGACGAGUGGCGAACGGGCGAGUAAUACACCCGAACGUGCCCGAUCCUGGGGGUUAACGUGGCGAAAGGUUUGCUAAUACCGUACACGAUAUAAGGUUGAAAGCCGGGGUGCGCAAGGGAUUGCGCGGGCGGAUCGGGCGCUGGUAGAGUAGGAUGUUGGUGGGAUUAGAGUUUACCGAGCCGAAGAUCUGUAGGUGGUCUGAGAGGAUGAUGAGCCACACGAGAAGUGAGACACGGCCCAGACGCCUGCGGGAGGCAGCAGUGGGGAAUGGUGGGCAAUGGGCGCGAGCCUGAUCCAGCCGGGCCGCGUGCGAGAUGAAGGCCUUCGGGUUGUAAACUGCUUUUGUGCGGAACAAAAAGCCUUCGUUUGAGACGGGAGGGUCAUGACGGUACCGGAAAAAUAAGCACCGGCUAACUACGUG